rnacentral:rRNA from 1 species
UACGUAGGGCGCAAGCGUUGUCCGGAAUUAUUGGGCGUAAAGAGCUCGUAGGCGGUUCGUCGCGUCGGCUGUGAAAACCCGGAGCUCAACUCCGGGCCUGCAGUCGAUACGGGCGGACUUGAGUGUUGCAGGGGAGACUGGAAUUCCUGGUGUAGCGGUGAAAUGCGCAGAUAUCAGGAGGAACACCGAUGGCGAAGGCAGAUCUCUGGGCCAUUACUGACGCUGAGGAGCGAAAGCGUGGGGAGCGAACAGG